UACGUAGGUGACCAGCGUUGUCCGGAUUUAUUGGGCGUAAAGAGCGCGUAGGCGGCUAUCCACGUCGGAUGUGAAAACUCGGGGCUCAACCCCGAGCCUGCAGUGGAUACGGGCGGACUAGAGUGCGGUAGGGGAGACUGGAAUUCCUGGUGUAGCGGUGAAAUGCGCAGAUAUCAGGAGGAACACCGGUGGCGAAGGCGGGUCUCUGGACCGAUACUGACACUGAGGAGCGAAAGCGUGGGGAGCGAACAGG
rnacentral:rRNA from 1 species